AUUGAAACUUGCACAAACAUGCAAUGGCGAAGCAAACUACUGUAAAAAUCACGUUUGUCAAAUGUACAUAUAUUUAGUGUAAUUACAAGUGUAUAAUUAUAUUUCUGUGUAAAAUCGUUGUCUCAAAAUGUCUGUUAAUACCGGGCGCUACCGUCCUGACAGGACUGAUACAUGGAAGAAGAAAUUUGGUUCAGGAGAUAAUGUUCCCAGAGAAAAUACUGCAGAGGCAAGACUAAAUCAAGUAAAUGAAAAUAUUAAAAUUGAUGCUUUAUAUGGAUUCCACAGAGUAACGGACGUUAAAGAAAGAAUAGGAUUUUUAUUAAAUAUGCAUGCGACGGAUAUUGUUGAAGAUGACAAGCAACUUGUUAGCGGUGUCGAUUAUUAUUUUAUUGAAGAGGAUUUUACUCGUUUCAAAGUUUCAUUACCGUAUGAACCAUAUUUUUAUGUUUUAUGCAGAAAAGAUACUAUUCAAGAAGUUUCAACAUAUUUAUUCAAAAAAUUUUCGGGAUUUAUUUUAAAAAUUGAAAUAGUAAUAAAAGAAGAUCUCGAUUUGCCGAAUCAUUUGAUUGGAUUGAAACAAAGAUAUUUGAAAUUAAAAUUCUCAAAUUUAGUAAAUUUAAUGAAAGUGAAAAGAGACAUAAUGAGUGCAGUGAGAGUUAACAAAGAACGUGAAAAAAAUAACACAUAUUAUGAUCAAUUGUUGACGAAAACGUUGAAUUCUAACAAUGUUCAUGAAAUGAAGAAAACGGUGGAUCAUAUGGAUAAUAUUCUUGAUAUUAGAGAACACGAUGUACCACAUCACGUUCGAGUAUCAAUUGAUUUAAAAAUUUUCGUUGGCGCUUGGUACUCGAUAAAAACAUGUGGAACACAAAAUCCGCCAAUAAUUACUCGAAGAGAUGACAUUGUUGAACGACCCGAACCAAUUGUCCUGGCGUACGAUAUUGAAACGACAAAAUUACCAUUAAAAUUUCCCGACGCAAAUAGCGAUCAAAUUAUGAUGAUUUCCUACAUGAUUGAUGCACAGGGUUACUUGAUAACGAACAGGGAGAUAAUUUCUGCAGAUAUUGAAGAUUUUGAAUAUACACCAAAACCAGAAUUUGAAGGUGUCUUUACAGUUUUUAACGAGCCAAAUGAAAAAGCUUUAAUUAAAAAAUUCUUCGAUCAUAUUAAUGAUGUGAAACCUCAUGUAUUUGUAUCUUAUAAUGGAGAUUUUUUCGAUUGGCCGUUCGUUGAGACAAGAGCUGCAAUUCACGGAAUGGACAUGAAAGAGAGAAUUGGAUUCUCGAAAAAUAAAGAUGGUGUUUAUGUCAGUCGACCAGCUAUGCACAUGGAUUGUCUAUGUUGGGUAAAACGUGACUCAUAUUUACCAGUGGGCUCACAAAAUUUAAAAGCCGUGGCUAAAGCAAAAUUAAGAUACGAUCCAGUUGAAUUGGAUCCUGAGGAAAUGUGUCGACUUGCUUCUGAGGAGCCAACAGUGCUUGCGAGUUAUUCCGUGUCCGAUGCAGUUGCCACAUUUUAUUUAUAUCAAAAAUACGUGCAUCCAUUUAUUUUCGCUCUAUCGACAAUUAUUCCCAUGGAACCGGAUGAAGUUUUACGUAAAGGUUCCGGUACAUUGUGUGAAACACUUUUGAUGGUUGAAGCUUAUCAUGCAAAUAUUAUCUAUCCAAAUAAACAGGAAGCUGAAUUUAAUAAAUUAACAACAGAUGGACAUGUUUUGGAUCAAGAAACAUAUGUUGGCGGUCAUGUGGAGGCACUUGAAUCAGGUGUUUUUCGUGCUGAUAUUCCGUAUAAAUUUAAAAUUGUUCCAACCGCUGUUGAAAAAUUAAUCGAUGGCAUUGAGGGCGCAUUGAAAUAUGCAAUUGAAGAGGAAGAAAAAAUUUCUCUCGAUUUAGUGACAAAUUUUGGGGAAAUUUUAGAUGAGAUUAAAACAAAACUCACUGCGCUUAAAGAUCAACCUUUCAGAAUGGAGAAACCUGUUAUUUAUCAUUUGGAUGUUGGUGCAAUGUAUCCGAAUAUUAUUUUGACAAAUCGUUUACAACCAUCGGCAAUGGUGAAUGAAACUGUUUGCGCCGCUUGUGAUUACAAUAAACCCGGAGCUCUUUGCCAACGUAAUAUGAAAUGGAUGUGGAGAGGCGAAACAAUGCCAGCAAGUUUGGGCGAAUAUCAAAGAAUACAACAACAAUUGGAAAUGGAGAAAUUUCCAUCGGCUUUUCCGGGUGGAGCAAGACGUGCAUUUCAUCAACUUUCAAAACAAGAACAAGCGCAAUAUGAAAAGAAACGAUUAACGGAAUUUUGUCGCAAGGCGUAUAGAAAAACAAAAAUAACACGGACUGAAGAAAGAACACAAACAAUUUGUCAGAGGGAAAAUUCAUUUUAUGUUGAUACUGUUCGUGCAUUUAGGGACAGACGAUAUGAAUAUAAAGGUAUGACAAAAGUGGCAAAACAACAAGUUGCCGCUGCAAUGAAAAGUGGUGAUGCUGCGGAAAUUAAAUUGGCGAAAGGAAGAGAAGUUCUUUACGAUUCCCUUCAGCUCGCUCACAAAUGUAUUUUGAAUUCCUUCUACGGAUACGUCAUGAGACGAGGAUCCAGAUGGUUCAGUAUGGAAAUGGGGGGAAUUGUUUGUUACACGGGAGCUCAUAUUAUUAUGAAAGCUCGUGAAAUUGUUGAAAAAGUUGGCCGACCACUUGAACUUGAUACUGAUGGAAUUUGGUGUAUUUUGCCCGCUUCGUUUCCCGAUAAUGUUGUCGUGAAAACGACACAUCCGAAAAAAUCGAAAAUUACGAUUUCUUAUCCGAAUGCUGUGCUUAAUUUCAUGGUGAAAGACGAAUUCACAAAUGAUGUGUAUCAUGAUCUUGUGAAUAAGGAGAAUUUAACGUAUAACAUUCGAAGUGAGAAUUCCAUUUUUUUCGAAGUUGACGGACCAUAUUUGGCAAUGGUUUUGCCUGCAUCUAAAGAAGAGGGAAAAAAAUUAAAGAAAAGAUAUGCUGUCUUUAAUUUUGAUGGAUCACUUGCUGAAUUAAAGGGUUUCGAAAUAAAACGACGUGGUGAACUUCAAUUAAUUAAAAUCUUUCAAUCGUCGGUGUUUGAAUCGUUUUUAAAGGGCGAAACACUUGAAGAAUGCUAUGCAUCAGUUGCCAAAGUUGCUGAUUAUUGGCUCGAUAUACUUUUCAGUAAAGGGUCAAAUCUUCCGGAUUCUGAAUUAUUUGAAUUGAUUUCGGAAAAUAAAUCAAUGUCAAGGACAUUGGAAGAUUAUGGAAGUCAAAAGUCGACGUCAAUUUCGACUGCUAAGCGAUUGGCGGAAUUUUUGGGUGAUCAAAUGGUUAAGGAUGCGGGAUUGGCAUGUAAAUAUAUUAUCUCCAAAAAACCCGAAGGAUCUCCUGUCACUGAAAGAGCCAUACCGUUAGCUAUUUUUCAAUCAGAACCAAGUGUCACUAGGCACUAUCUGAGAAAAUGGUUGAAAGAUCCAAGUAUUCAAGAGCCAAAUAUUCGGGAAAUUUUGGACUGGAGUUAUUAUAUUGAAAGACUUGGAAGUGCGAUUCAGAAAAUUAUCACAAUUCCCGCAGCCAUGCAAGGAAUUGCGAAUCCAGUUCCAAGAGUCAAACAUCCCGAUUGGUUGUACAAAAAGGUCUCAGAGAAGAACAAGACAAAAUCGCAAAUGAAAAUUAACGAAAUUUUCAAAACUGUACCAAAGGAAGUGGUAGAGAAUCUCGAUUCGACAAUGGAAGCAGACAGUGAACUUGACAUUGAAGACAUUGGAACAAGACAAUCAAUAUUUAAAGUUCCAUUAACAUCAGCCGUUUCAAAACGAAAGCGAGUAAUGUCAUCAUCAGAGGAUGAAAUUGAGAAUAAUACAAAAUCGUGGAUGGAGGUUUUAGGUAAUCCACCGCCAAUGGGAACGACGAGAGAUGAACGAAUCGCUUGGAUUGAGUUUCAUAAGAAAAAAUGGGCCUAUCAAUUGAAACAAAAGGGUCGCGAACCUGGUGCAAAAAGAUCGCGAAGACAAAUGAAUAAUUCUUUUCAUCAAGUGAAUCGUUCAGUUGUGCGAAAUCCAACCAGUGGCACUUUGGGUGGAUUUUUAAAACGUGCUCAAGAAAAAUUACUUAUCACACCAUGGCAAAUAAUACAAAUAGUUGAAACCAAUGAGCCUGGCUUAUUUCGUCUUUGGGCACUCGUCGAUCAAGAAUUACAUCAAUUACGACUUAUUGUGCCGAGAAUAUUCUAUGUAAACAGACGUAUUUUACUUCCCGAUCCAACAUCUAAACAACAGUGGCAAAAAUGUUCGAAAAUUUUACCACGUGGACGUCCUGUUUUUAAUCUCUAUCGGUACACUGUCGAUGAAUCGAAAUUUCGUCAUCACAAGGAGGGAGUAUUAAAUGAAUUGAUGACACCCGAUAUUGAAGGAAUUUAUGAAUCGCAAAUGACAUUGGAAUUCCGUGCGAUUUUACAAUUGGGUUGUGUUUGUACAGUUGAUCAAAAUUUAGAUUCAAAAAUUGCCGAAGGUGCUGAUACUUUUAAUCUCGAACAAUUGACAUUCAAGAGUGUUGGUUAUCAACCAUAUUUGGAACAAACCGGAGCUUUAAAAUACAUUUUUCUUUAUCAUCAUUGGUCAUCGAAUCAUCAGCGUGCAAUUUGGGGAUUAUUUUUAGCGCCAAGUAAAAGAUGUCAUGUUUUUGUGUUAAAUUCAGCGAAAACGAGUCAAAUGCCAAAUAUGGGUUCUUUGUAUGUGAAUGAGAGAAAUUUAGCAAAUGAAAAACAAUUGGAGGAUGAAAAUUUAAAAAGUACACCGGAAACAUUACAUUUUGAAGUGAAAGUCGAGACGGAUUCAUUGAAAAUUUAUAAAGCCAUUCAAGUAGCAUUGAAGAAUUAUAAAAAUGAAAUGAAAGGUGCAACAAUAUUGGUAUUACAAACAGCAAUGGAAGUUUCACAUUUGACAAAUCAUAUGCCAAUGAUUAAUGAAUUUCCAUUUAUUAAAACUCAUAUUGCCGAUGUUGAAAAUUUAUAUAGUACAUUGGAAUGGCAAAAAAUUGGUGCCAAGGCAAUGAUAAGACAUUAUUUGGAAUGUGAAAAAACAUUGCAUUUAAUGUUGGAACAAUGUCGAUAUUUUCAUGCACCAGUUGGAAAUAUUCCUAUGGAUGCGACAUUAUUUGGCGCUGAUUUAUUUUAUGCACGACAUUUACAGAAGAAUAAUUUUGUUCUUUGGUGUUCGCCAACUGAGAAACCAGAUUUUGGAGGCAGUGAAAAUGACGACAAUCGAUUGCUCACGGACUUCGAAGACAGUUCAAGCUGUGAAAUCAAUAAAACUGGUACUUAUUCAAGUGUUUGUGUUGAACUUGAAAUUGACAGUUUAGCGGUGAACACAUUACUUCAGGCUCAUCAUGUUAAUGAUGUCGAUGGAACUAGUUCGUUUGUUGCAUUUCAUAGUGCUCCACAAGCGACACUACAGGAAAUGAUAGCUGGUGAAUCAACAACAUUGGGAAUUCCAAGCUAUGAUGAAACGGCCUUGUGUAGUGCAGCAUUUAAAGUUUUGCGAAAUAUGGUGAACGCUUGGUUAAGGGAUGUGACUAUUUAUAAAAAUAUGUUUGCCGAUUAUCAAAUAAUUCAUUUUUAUCGUUGGCUUCGUUCUCCACAAGCUUUACUUUAUGAUCCUGCACUUCGUCGAACACUACACAGUUAUAUGAAAAAAUUAUUCCUCCAAUUAAUUGCCGAAUUUCAAAGACUUGGCUCUGUUAUUGUUUUUGCGAAUUUUAACAAAAUUAUUUUAUGCACGAAAAAACGUACCGUUCCAGAUGCAUUGGGAUAUGUUGAAUAUAUUGAUCAUUCAAUUCGACGAAAGGAAUUAUUUCACAGUAUUGACAUACGUUUUGAAAAAUGUUGGGAAUAUUUGAUAUGGCUUGAUUUGACGAAUCAUGGUGGUGUUCGGGGCAAAGUACCAAAGUCUGUUAUGGAAGAAAGUCAAGCAGAACAAAAUAUGGAGGAGGAAGAAGAAAAUGAAGAAGAAGGGCCGGAAAUAAUUAUGAAUUGGAAUUUAAUGGAAUAUCUACCAAAAGAAGCGUCUUGUCAAACUAUUUUCAGUAAUAUUAUUGCGGGUUAUAUAAAUGCCAUUUAUCAGCAUAUAAGUGAUAAUGAACCAGGAAAUGCAACACCACGUCCUCGACAAAGAAGUCAAAGUGUUUCCAGUCAAAGUUUCACUCAACGUCUCGGUUUAGCGGAUUUAGAAAAUACUGCACAAUUCGCUAAAGCUUUAAUAACUGGCGAAAUGUCUCAGAAACUCUUUCAACUUGUUCAGAAAAUACACAAAAAAUUACCAGAAAAAGUAUUAAUGCCGGAAGAAUGUCCUCAUUUGGGAACGAUAGUAUCUGGAAAACGAAUAAUUAAACCGGCAGUUGAAGUGACAAAAGCAGUUUGUGAGGUUUUAUCACUGGACAAAGAAGUCACAGAAGAAAUUAGCAAUCUAAAAGAAAAUUUAUUGAAAUUAGUUAAUGUUAGUGUAUAUAGUGACGAAGCUGAAUGGAGAGAUCCUUCCGUUUCCUUUACACUGCCGGAAGUAAUUUGUCAGGGUUGCAAUCAUACUAGAGACAUUGAUCUUUCUAGAGAUAAUUUUCGUGCCUUUGAAAAUAAUAGACAAGUAUGGAAAUGUCCAGUUUGUGAGAUGAGCUAUGAAAACGAUGAAAUUGAAAUGGCACUAUUGGAUCUAUUAAAUAGAAAAACAAUGGCUUAUAUUCUUCAAGAUUUACAAUGUCGCCGUUGUCUUGAAGUGAAAAAGGACAAUAUCAAAGAACUUUGCUCAUGCGGUGGUAAUUUUAAGACAUUAAUCACCAAAAAAGAGAUGACAAUAUUUGCCAUGGUUCAUAAAAUAGUUGCAGUUAAAUGUCAAAUGGAAAUUUUAAUGGAAGCCUUGGAAAAUACAAAUCUCCUCGAAUCUACAGAACCAGUGGAGUGAAAAGAAGAAUAUAUUUUUUUAAAGAAUGAUAUCAGUUCUGUGAACUGUGAUAAAUUUUAAGAUUGCCAAUUGUUGCUACAUUCACGUCAAUUCAUAGAAAGUUUUCGCGCCUUUGUGUGAUGUGCUCUGAUGUGCUCCGACAAAAAUUAAGUUUAAGUGAUGUGUUUUCCAGUAAUAGUUCUAUUCUCAUCUCAAGUUGAUUGAAAU